CGAAAGUUAAUCAAAGCACUGACCCUAGGACACAGUCGAAGAUGUUGCUGCAGGCGUUCAAAAGGGAAUUACAUCCUCUACAAAGCUGAAACAUCAUUUCCAAAGAGUAAGCAAAAGAUCAGAGUAUAAGAAAAACAGAGUUACUGUUGCUGGAUCUAUAAAACUCUGCAAGAAAGAGACCUUCAGGCUGCUGCUGGAAGCUAUAAAUUUAAAUUAUGGAUAUGUUCCUUUGUCUUCAUACUGUUCUCUUUAAUAUCUUCCCUGUAACAGUGGACACCCUGGGAUCAUCAUCCCCCUGCAACAUGUAUUCAUAUUGACUGGGUGGACUGUGCACACAGAGUGACUGUGAGUACAGCUAUUUCUACCUUCAUUUAAAAUAGCAGACUGGAGCCAGACUGCCUCUGGCUGUACGGCAAUACCUCGCUGUAAAAUGCAGAUUUGGAUUUGCGUACCACGGGCUGCUGGUGCUACAGCUCGAAGCUCUGGGGGAAGAACACAGAUGAAGGUUCAUCCUGCUGGUCCAGCAGAGUGUUUGUAAAGGUGGCAGGCAUUCACAGCCGUGAAACUGAAGUGUUAGAAGUUUUGCUGCUCUGAACCUUUACCUUUACACAUCUAAGGAGUAACAGACUUAGCAGCACCUCUGAACCCAUCGAAACUCAGACAACUUCAUUUCUAUUCUCCUUUUAGCACUGGGAAUGCUAAAAUGCUGAGCAAACCAUAGAAUCUUCUGAGUUGGAACCCUUAAAGGCCAUCUGGUUAGACUCCCCUGCAGUGAACGGGGACACCCACAGCUCCAUCAGGUGCUCAGAGCCCCGUCCAGUCCAACCUUGGCCAUCUACAGGAAAGGGCCACCACCACCUCUCUGGGCAAAUACCUCCCUUCCUCUCCUCCUCUCCGAAGUUAAUGUACUAGAAAUGAGGGGCUUUGGAGUUCUAUGCCUUUCUCAUGUUAGUUUUGGUGUGGUGGGGUCUAAGGCUGUAUUCCAUACUUUUUUACUCUACUUGUAUGGCUG
ensembl:lncRNA